ensembl:lncRNA
AGGGAUUGCAGAAGGUACAGCGCAUCCCGCUGGCUACAGACUGAGAGACCCUCGGGGACCCGAAGCUCCCGCGUGGCGCCCAAGCAAAUGGUUUUUGCGGGAUAAAGCGACCAAGACCGGGAUGCAGCAGCCCGGCUGGGUGUCCACACUGUGCAGAGCGUCCAGCCCACGUGAUGCUGAGCAGGAGAUGUUCUCGCUUGCCUGCAUUGCACGCCAUCAUUUGUGAGUAUAACACCUCAUGCUUCCCCUCAACCUGCAAGAAAAGGAAGAUCUCGGUCAAAAUAAACCAGUGCCACGUGGUGGUGAAAUCCCUCCAGUCAAAUGAUUCCUGCCGUCCAUCCUUUUUGCGACCAACAAACAAACAGAGGAGUUGAGUCGGCCUUCUGCUGAGCGAGCACUCUGCAGCGCGGCGCAGCGCGGCGGCUAUUAGCCACCCGCUGGGAUCAGCUAUCGAAUGGAGCACUUUAUUAACAUCAGUAUCACUUUGAGGGUACUGGAAUUAUUACUGACUUCAUCUUUUCUCAACCCACACCCACCCCUAAGCCUAAGUGCUAAACCUAUCGGAGAGGAUAGAUGUUAAUGGCUCCAACCGACCCCGCUGUCCCUAAUAUGUCCGGCUGGCUCCCAGGUGACGUCACAAAACCCUCCUUUGAAAUCUAUGAGCGGUCUUUCAUCAGCUUCAGGUGGGAAGGCAAGGGGGGGCUCAAGGAGACAGUAAUUAACUUAUAUUGAAUCUCACGUGAACCUGCACUGCAAAAAACUACCGAAAGUCUGGAUCGAAUGCAUUUAAGCCCUAUUGAAAUAAAGGAUGAGAUGAUUAUAUUUAACUUAAUAAGCAAGAAGAACACAUCAAGAUGAUGAAGAGUGGGUCUUUUAACAAAAUAAAGUGUACUUAUUGUGUAUUUGGUGGUUUGAUAAUGCAACCUUGCGUUUUUUUUAGUUACAUUCAUGUCGCCACUUUAGAUUUGGUUGUUUGACAUUUUGUGAAGGAGAAUGAAAGAGAAGACAGGACAAAGAAAAGGAACAAGGCGAUCACAUUAAUAUUUCAUCUUCACAGCAGAGUAUUUUUGAGGUGUUGUGUUUCGCCCAUUGUUUAAUAAGAACACAUGCUGCGACAUCACAUUACAGUAUAUCUCUGUAUAUACUGUAUAUAUCUGUCUCUAUAUCUGUAGAGUUUCAUAAAUGUUCGGGGCCAUAUUUAAUAUUUGUCCAUUUAAAUUGAACCGAUUAUCAUUUACUGGUUUAUAAUGUCAACUUG